rnacentral:lncRNA from 1 species
UUCAGAGCCUGCAAAGUGUUGUAGUGUAUGCAAAGAGUGGUGUCUCUCACAAAAAUAAAAAUCAGCUGCCUGCAGCUGGUCCAAGUCCGACCACCUCUGUGAUUUAAGGCAGCAGGAGUUUCCUUGCUCAAUCUCUGUCUGAAUGAAAAAAAAAAUCGCCUGUCAUUUUGGUGCCUGUUGGGUAAAAUUCUCCUCACCUGCUCAAAACCCAUCGUACUGCACUCUGCAGGCUCUCAGCAUCCCAGGGCCAUCCUCCCCCAGGCUCAGCCAGAAGGGACCAGUCUUUAGGAGCUCGUUUCGCAGCAGUCCCACCCUGUGGUGCACCAAGACCUGUCUGAGCCCCAGGCACUGUUAAAGGAGGGGGGGACACCGUGCAGGGUGACACAGACAUGGCUUAGUGCAUCUCCUACUGCCCAUUUCUUUGUUAGGAAUGGCAAAGCUUUUGUACUAAUGAAGUGCCACACACCAAACACACCAGGUAACUUGAAAUAUCGCAUGCUACAAAAAUAAUCCAACACUAAAAAAAAAUCUAUUUUCUUCCCUUAUCUUCAUAUUCUGUUUAAUAGCUCUGACUCUCUGAUACUGAUCUGGUUCCCUGCUUUCCUCUCUUCCAUCGCACCCCCGUGUGCUCCUGUGCACACACACACAUACAGGCACGCACUCUGCACCCCAUGGCACUGUCUUGGCCACGUUCCUCUUGUACUCAACCCCCUCGUCCCACCUACAUUUUUAAUCCACGAGACCCCGUUGCUGAGCUGUGGCGAUGUCACAGCAAUCCUUUGUGAGCAGAAGAGGAGCGUGCAGGUGGCUCACACAGCUGGGAAGGAGCCUGGGACGAGGCGGGUGGAAGAGCUCCUCCGGCGCUCCCGUUAUGCCCAGCGAGCUCCGUAAAGAUAAAUCCAAGGGAAUAAGCAACACCAGUUCUUCCACUCAAUAUUCCCUCAUCUCCAGCUUCAGUUCAGAUUUUGCUCUCAAGUCACACAAAGUCAGAUAAGUCUUUUAAAAACUUGUCUGGUCUCCUUUUUGUAGGUCUCAUAUUGUCAUGUUUACUCAAAAUAUUAAUGCUAAGAUUAGCAUCCAGAAUUUGUUGCACAUUUUCUUCAGCUGAGGAUGCUUAGUCCCAGUGGGGUUGCACUAACUGAGCCCCACGGCAUCCCUCCUCUGUAUGGGACACAGCAGGGACAUUUGGCUGGGGUGUGGUGCUUCUACCCCGAGUCAUUUCUUUUGGGC